GACGAACGCUGGCGGCGUGCCUAAUACAUGCAAGUAGAACGCUGAAGAGAGGAGCUUGCUCUUCUUGGAUGAGUUGCGAACGGGUGAGUAACGCGUAGGUAACCUGCCUUGUAGCGGGGGAUAACUAUUGGAAACGAUAGCUAAUACCGCAUAACAAUGGAUGACACAUGUCAUUUAUUUGAAAGGGGCAAUUGCUCCACUACAAGAUGGACCUGCGUUGUAUUAGCUAGUAGGUGAGGUAAUGGCUCACCUAGGCGACGAUACAUAGCCGACCUGAGAGGGUGAUCGGCCACACUGGGACUGAGACACGGCCCAGACUCCUACGGGAGGCAGCAGUAGGGAAUCUUCGGCAAUGGGGGCAACCCUGACCGAGCAACGCCGCGUGAGUGAAGAAGGUUUUCGGAUCGUAAAGCUCUGUUGUAAGUCAAGAACGGGUGUGAGAGUGGAAAGUUCACACUGUGACGGUAGCUUACAAGAAAGGGACGGCUAACUACGU
rnacentral:rRNA from 1 species